GGUGUAGUAGCCAAGAUGGUUAAGGCAAGGGUCUGCAAAACCCUCACGCGCGGGUUCGAAUCCCGCCUACACCU
rnacentral:tRNA from 1 species